UGCGAUCAUACCAGCACUAAAGCACCGGAUCCCAUCAAAACUCCAAAGUUAAGCGUGCUUGGGCGAGAGUAGUACUAGGAUGGGUGACCUCCUGGGAAGUCCUCGUGUNCGUGC
rnacentral:rRNA from 1 species